GAAGGGAUGAAGGUGCAGGAAGAAGCACUCUUCCGCUAGCUCAACAAUUUCAGUUUCCACCACGCUUUUAAGAUGGCAAUUGCUUCCUGCACCCGAUCAAUUGUGACUGGCACCCGACGAACUUUUUAAAAUCCCAUCAUGCCCUUGUCUUCUUCAUAUGGUGAGGUAGAGGAAGUUCAUUGUUGUGUGAAGCUUUAGUCCGCACCAUCUUCUAGAACUACCUCCACCUCUAGUCCGCACCAUCUUACAACAUAUAUAACAAAAUAACAUUCAAUCCAAC
rnacentral:lncRNA from 1 species